CCACUUUCAUGACUCGUCAGGCAUUCCAGGCCAGUUUGCAGACGACGAAGGUUGUAUCUCGCUUGUAUUUUUAAAAUUUAUUAUUUAAAAAAAAAUAGUCAGUUUUUUCAUUUGUUUGCGUUGUUGGAGAGCCUCCGGGUCCUUCACGCCGAGAAACACAAGCUAGAUACAGUCUCGUCGUAUGCAAUGGCAAUGGGAAGGACGGCGGGAGUCGCUGUUUCCGUUUCCGAGGAGCCUGGUGGGGGGGAUGCCUGGAAACCGAGACCUCGCACCGCUGGUCCUGAGUGUCGUGUUUGGUUUGUAAAAUCGUAUCGAAAAAAACCAAAGUAUUUUUUUUCUUUAAAAAUUAGUUGAAAAAAAAAAAAAUUCUCACUCUCUUUGCUUAAUAGGAAAAAAAAAAUGACUGAUUUCAUAUUUUAUUUUCAUCUUUUGAAGAUUUUUUUUUAGCUACGAAUUAUUUAUUUUGUAAAGUGAUCAUUUUGUGAUAUAUUUAAUUUGUGAUUGACUCUUACUUCUUCAGUAUUAUGAGUAUUUAAUGAGAAUUAAUUUUUGAGACUUUAAAAAGAAAAAAAAAAAAAAAGUUGCAGAUUUUAGUGGCCACUCGAUGUAUUUUUCAUGUUUUAUAUUUAUAUAUAUAGAGGAGGAGACACAUGCAGUUUGGAAUAAAAUUUUUCUAUUUAAAAAAACAAAAAUUUAAUUAAUUUCAUUUUUUUAAUAGUUCAAUGUCUAUUAAUGUCAUCCCUCCUUUUCAGUUUUGGCUCACAAAUGCUCAUGAUUGGAAGAGAUUUAUGUUGAGGGGAAAAAAAUUCUAUUUCUAGAAGGUCGAGAAAGAGAGAGAGAGAGAGAGAUGGGCAGCACUCGAUUCUAUUCACACAAAUUGCGAUAUAAAAAAAAAAAAGUAUCACCCCUACCUGUGCGAACACACCUUUAUUAUCGUUCUUGAUGGAAAAAAAAGCGAAAUCUCCGGUGAGCUUCUUUUAAUUGUCCCUGAAAACAAAAUGCCCCGAAAAAAAUCUAUUCCUCAGGUUUUUACUUCAAUCAUCUGCGUGGGCGUUAUCCUUGGCGAAACAACAAAAUAGGAUACACGAGGUACAAAAAACUUCAAUGCAUGAGUAAUUUUCAUUUAUUUUUGAGAAAAAAAAAUUUUUUGCCGAAAUUAUUUUUUUGGGAUAAAAACGAGAGAGGGUGGUGUGGCCUUUUUGCCUUUCAAAAAGGCGAACGGAAAUAAUAGUAUUUUCACAGAUUACAUGCGAAAAGGGAUCUCCUUUAUCGAGAGCAAUUGCGGACGAAAAAAAAAAAGGUCCUCGACCGAGAUUUUUAGGACCUUAUCUCAUGGUAUCAUCUUUGUAAGUCAUUUCUUUCACUGGCUUUAUCGGUUCUUUUUUAUUUUAAUUGAACCGAUAUUUUUUAAAUGUGAGAAUUUUUAUUUGAACAAAAAACAUAACUUUUUUUUUUUUAAAAAAUUCGUAACAAGUUUUUUUUCUUUUUUGUGUGCUUUUUUUUUGGAUAAAUUGGAGUGUUUCAGUGUAAAAAAAUUUCUACUAUUUGGAAAGUAUCGGUUCAUAUCAGUCAAGCAUCUUUUUUCAUAAGAGAGAGAGAGACACGAGGGAGAGAAAAAAAAGCGUGUUUUCAUCAUCCUCAUCCGGGACCAUUCUCCACAAUUGGCGAAGAUCAACGGUAAAUCUCGGAAAAAGGGGGGAAAUAAAUUCUCUUUUUUUGAGCUGCAGGAAAAAAAAUUUCGCCGAACGAGGAACGUAAGCCGAGUUAAUUUCAAUUUUUUUCUAAAAAAAAAAAAUUAUCAGGUAUUGAAUUUGUUUUGGGGAAAAAUUUUUAGAAAAAAAAAGGGGGGGUUAAGUUUAAGGAUUUGUUCUUUUGUGUCUUUAGGACCAAAAUAGAAAACUAGUGCGAGGAAAAAUAGUUUCGAGAAAAAGAUGAGGGGAAAAAAAAGCAAAUCCAGAACAAUAAAAGGGCAGAGGAAAUGCAGUUACCGGAGUACAAAACGAGGUUUUCUCAUUAUAUUUAAUUCGUCGGGGAAAUGGGGUUGUCGGGGCUUUUUAAGGUAAUUUGUGUUUUAAGAUUUUUCGAGCCGACGGAGAAGAACGGGACACUUGAGGGUGUGUGUGUUUGACACUGAAGAGAGAAACCAAUUUUGUAUAACUCUCAGCCGAAGAGAAGGUAUCAUUUUCUCUCGAUUUAUAUCAAUAUAUUUUGAUAUUUAACCAAUUUCCAAUGAAUUUUAUAAAAUAUGUACAUAUAUGUAUAUUUUAUCGAAUUUUUUCCAAACAUUUCGUUUUUGUAUUGCUUUAUUUGGGUGGGAGAGAAAAAAAAUUUUUUUGUCUUUUUGAGUCGUAGGAAAGGAACAAAUCAAAAGGAGUGCAGAGUAGAUUUUUUUUUAGAGGCAAUUUUCGAAGAUACACAGAUUUUCACAGGUGAAACAAAAAAAAUUCAUUUUUUUAUAUAUAUAGAGUAACGAUUUCCUAGAAACAGGAGUUUAUAGAUCAUCCGAAGAAAGGUAUCAAUUUUUUUACGUAUGAAAGUUGAAUUCUAUUUUUUUUAGACUGGGGGGAAUAUUAACGUUUUUUCCCGCAGAAACCGGAAGACAUCGAGGAAGAUGCUCAAUUUUCUUUCCAAGCAUGUGAUUUCAAUUUCGUAGGCAAUUUUUGAGAGUGCACCAUUUUUUUGUCGACUUGAUGUAGAAAAUAUAUAUAUACACACAAAAAAGACCUCGAAAGGUAAUAGAAAAAAAAAAAAUCAUUUUUUCAUCGAAUGGGAAAUCUUUUGUGGAAGUGGGGAAGUUUUUUUCGCUACAGUUUCAACGGCACAAGAUUUAAUUUUUUUUGCGAGGAAAAAUAAAAACAAGGACAAUUUUGAAAAAAAAAAAUGGGCAAUUAAUCGCUAUCGCUAUUUCAAUUCGCUUUUUUUGAGACCGGGCUGUUCAAGGAAUUUAUGGUUGAAGGUAAUUUAGAGCAGAUUUUCUUUUUACAAAAAAACUCACCAAAUUUUGUUUCCUACACAGGUAUGGUAAAAAGGCGGGUGUUUUUUUUUUUAAAUAAUGGUAAUUGCUAACGAAAUCUUUAAAUGCUUAUGAGAAACUGUUUUUUAGAAUAUCAAUUUUUUGAUCGUAUAUAAUAUUGAAUAUUUUGUCACAUGUAAAUUUUCUAUUCUAUAUAGAGCAUGUCUGAUUCAAUGUUGCCUUUUAGGUUUUGUUGGCAGAGGAAUUUAACUGUUGCUUGAAAAAAAAAAAAGAAGUAUCGAAAAUAUUUUAGAAAAACUUGUAGUUUGUAUUUGCUUUAAAGAGACUAACCAAGAAAGGACGUUUUUUCAUCUCUAUAGAAUUAUCACAAUUGUGAAAAAGAAUAAUUUUCUAUAAAAAAAAAAAAAUCAGCACCCGAAGUCAUUUUGCCUGAGAUGUAUUGCUGUGAUUCAUUUCUUUUUCCUAAAUAGAGAAACUAAAGACAUUUUUUUACCAUGCACUCAAUAUGAAGCUUUUCAUCAUCUAUUUGUGCAGUGACAAUUUUCUUUUACCAACAAGUGAAAAAAAAAAACCAGUUUUUGUUCUCUAAAAAUUAAUAUUUUAGCGCAAUUUUUCUUGUUAGACAUUUGCGAAGCUUUGACAACACAAAUUUUGUUAAUGCGAUUGACAAAUUUUCACCUAUAAAAAUUGUUGAAUGUUUUUUCUACUCUUAUGUUUUUUAGAAAAUGGUGAGUGUUUUUUGUGUUUAUAAUAUUCUGGAAAAAAAAAACAAAUGCGAUGAGUUUUUAUAUUAUGUAUAUAACUCCUUAGAUUUUAGGUAGAUUAAUUAUUUAUUUUCAUGUUCUACUUUUCUCCAAGUCUUGUGUACUUUUUUUUUUAAUUAUUUCCUAUUUUUUGUAUACGAAAUCUGUUCUUUUAUAAUUCUUUAUGAAUAAAUCACGCUUUAUGCUGGGGGAUGGGGUUUGGGGAACACUAAUCCAUCCAAGAAAUUAAAAGAAUUUUCAGGGUCCAGAUGAUCGCUAUUCCAUUAAUAAUUUUUUGCGCACGCACAAACAUACACACACAGAAAAAAAAAUCAUGGAAGUUCCUUUUUCUUUGCUGAUGUUCUUGCAUAUUUUUGUCAACCAAAAAAAAUGUUGUGGAUUUGAAAUUUUUUUGUGAGCCAAGAUUAUUUUCAUAUUCAGUUCUGAAGAUUCAUCAUCAUCAUCAUCAAAAUCAGUUUCAUUUUUUUUGCUAAGAAGAAUGUUACCCGUUUUAUUUUUUCUUCAAAUGAAGAAAGUUUUAGUUGAAUAUUUUCAAUGGUUUCAAGAGUUUAAAUUGGAAAAUGGAAAAAAAAAAAAGUUUUCGUGAGUUUGAGUGCAAGUAUAGUGUGUGAGUUCUAUUUAAUUAGCAGAAGUAUAUAUUACUAUAAAAAUAGAAAAUGGAGAGGAGGAGGAUUUUGAUUAUAUUUGCAUCAUAAUGAAGAGCCGAGUGAAAGUUUUUUUUGGAUUCCUGAAGAUGAAAAACAAGAGAAAAUUUUUGAAGCGAUUAAAAAUCUUAUUUCGUUGAGGCAAAUUUUGAAUGAACCGAAGAAAUACGAGGCUGUAAGUCUUUUUAAAAAAAAAUAUUCGAAUUUCUAAUCCUUUCUCUUUUUAGAGUAUUUUUUCGAAGAUUUUUAUUUAUAAUGUGAAAGAGUAUUUUAAUAGUUUUGAAAAAUAUUUUAAAGUAUAAGAAAAAAUUAUUUUGAACUUCAAAAAAAAAAAAAAAAAAAUGGAUAUAGUUUUUACAAUUUUUAAUUAUAUAAACGGAAGAUGCUGAAGAUAGAAAAAAAAAAUUGUGGCUGAUAUUAAUUCAUAUAUUUUGCGAGAGUAAUUUUUUUUACAUAAUUUGGAAGAUAUAAAGAAAAAAAUGAAGAUGAAUUGAAAAAUUUUGCAUAAUGUGGAAAAAAAAUUAUUUUGAAUUGAAAACAAAUAAGGUUUUACGAUUUUUUAUUAGGCGAAGAAAUAUUCUUUUUUUAAACUGAAGAUUGAAAAUUUAACAUGAACCAGGAAGAAAAAAAAACCUAUCUUGAAAAUAGUAAGUUCCUUUUCGAUUUUCGAAUUUUUUAAUCAAUUCUUUUUAGAGUAUUUUGAAAAUCGUCUCAAAUUAUACGAAAAACAAAAAAUGUAUCAGGAAUUUUUGCGUUAAUUCAACAAAACGAUUUUUUUAUUUAACAAAAAAGAAGAUAUGAAGAUAUUUUUCAAGAAUCAAUUCGAAAAUUAUUUGCAAAAGUAUUUCAGGAAGAAAUUAUGAAGCCAGUAGUAAAACAAAAUGUUGAAGUUUUUGGAAGCAGUUUGAAAGAUUGGUAUAUCUAUUAUUUUUUUGCUGUUUGUUUUUUUUUUUGUAACCAAAUGUUUCAGGAUUCUGAGUUUUUAAUAUAGCGGAAAAUGGAAUAAAACAAUUUUAUUGCCUAUUCAGUAUUUUUGAAGAUUACAAAAAAAAAGAAGUUAUGCAGAUGUGGAAAAAGUUUUAAAAAAUCCAAUUUAUAAUACCCAAAAUGUUAAUGGAUAAUGAAAUUGAAGAUUUUGCGAGAAGAAUAUUUUUUAAAAUAUUUCUAAAUGAUUUUCUCAAGUUACCAAAAGGAUAGCACAUUUAUUUAGUCAAUGAAGAAUAUUUUCGGAGUUUCAAUAUUUCCAAAAAUAAUAUUUAUAUAUUUCCGUACUUUUUGAAGUUUAUUUCCAAGGAUAAUUAUUUUAAAGGAUAUUUUCGAAUAUAAGGAUACGAAUGGAUAUUUUCAAAUUUUUUUAAUAUUACUGAGGAAUAUUUUUCAAGUUGCCAAUUUAACAGUUUACGUGCGAAAAUUUGAAGGAAGAUUACAAAAUACGGUAUAUUUUUCUCUUUGUCUUUAAUCAAAUGUUUCAGCAAUAUUUAAAUGGAAUUCUAUAUAGAAAAAGCAAAUGGACUUUUAUUGUCUUAAAAUAAUUAUGAUGACAAAAAUAUUAAAAUUCGUUAGUCGAGAAAAAUUGCAAGAAUAAUUUUUAUUAAACACGGGCACGAAGAUUUCAUCAUAUUUGAAAAAAUAUUAAAUUAUUAAGGAAAAAAGAGGUAUUUAAAAAAAAAUUUGUCAAGGAAGAUAAAAAAAAUUUGUUUUAAAGGAAAAAUAAUUAUCUCGAAGGAACGAUUUGUGAGUUAUUUAUCUACUUAACUAUUUUCUAGGUAGAAUUUAUAUUUAUUAUUUAGCCGUACGUAUUUUAACAACAAAAUGAAGAAAUUGAAAUAAUUCUGUAUAUAUAUACACACAUGAAGAGUGGAAAUUAUUUUUGUCCCUCCCCUUCUCUCUGCCCCUUAAUGAGAAUGUUUCUAGAGAUUCACGAGAGCCAAUGAUUUAAAGAAAAAAACAAAAAAGUACAUGGGGAACUUACCUGUAAAUUCGACUUCAUCAUCAUCAGAAAAUUUUCUUCUAUAUUCGUCUCUCAAGUGGGGGAUCAACUUUGGAAGGAACUUAGUCUGGAUUCUUGGGCAGAGCUGCAACGUUUUCCACAUUUCCAACAGUCGAUCUUCGUGAUCCUGAAGGAGAAUGGACAUUGCGGAUAUGCUCCAGGGAUUUGAAGAUUCUCUGAAGGCUGAUUCCCUAAUUUCUUCGAUAUAUAAUUCCUGCUGCCUUGUGAUGUUGAUCUCAUUUCUUUAUUCAUCGAUGGAAGCUUUCGAGGGCGUCUCUUCGGUAUUUUUGCCCCCCUCGGAGUCCAAAGGUGUCUCACGGAGAGCAGAGUUCCAGCCAAAAUGUGUUGAUUCCCAUUCUUUUAAAAAAAUUUUUUUUCUCUUCCGAGUCUUGCAGCCGGUGCGAUUUUUAGGAUUCUAGGCGAUGCGGAUUUGGGGUUUUUUCUGCGCGAUUUCCGGUACAUCCUUAGGUCGACUUUCAUCGGGUACUUCGCGGGCGAAACUUCCUUCGGACGACGUUCUUCAUGAUCGCGAUUCAUCUACUUUCAUCUCUCAUAUCCUUCUCGUGGACCCAAAGAGACUUUUAGUUUUUAGGCUUUAAAAUAGGAAUUAGAAAUUUGAAAAAAUAGAAAAAAAACGAAAUUAAAAAAAUAGAAAAAAAAAUAUUUAAAAAAAUAGAAAAAAAGAAUUAAAAAAAAAGAAUUUAAAAAAAGAUUAAGAAAAAAGAAAAAAUAUUUUAAAAAAAGAAAAAAAAUAGGAAAAAAAAUAUAUUAAAAAAAGAAAAAUAGGAAAAAAAUAUUAAAAAAAAAACAGAUUUAAAAUAAAAAAAAAAAAAAAAAAAAAAA